rnacentral:lncRNA from 1 species
CCGGUUUUAAUGUUUAUGCCUUAUAUCUUCCUUUUGGGCUGAUUCAACUAUGCUGGUAAAGUGGAAAAAGCUGAAAAAUUAAGUAUUGAAAGGUCCGAAGAUCCAUAGCUACUGCAGGACCAUCAAUGCAGAGCUUAGUUGCAGAACUUGGCAGGGUGAGAUUUGAGGGAAUGCCGAGAUAGGGUACCAUGGUAAAGACUGAGGACAUACUACUAUGCCAUCCAAAGCUAAUAUGUGGAUACUGGUCGACCUCGUUCUUGCACAUCUUUCACCACUCUCAAGCAGUAAGGAAUUAAGG